UUCUGUCAAACUCUUGUAUUCCCUCUUGGACAAUGGAUUCGAACUGUGAUUGUGUCUACACACUAUUUUGGUUCUUCUAAGCAGAAAAGAAUCUGUUCCUGGUUCUUCUCCUCACUCCACCCCACCCCUCACUGCAUCACUUGUCUUUGGAUAAGGGAAAUUUGGACACAGAUAGCUACACAGGGAGAACGCCACAGGAACAUGAAGACAGAGAUCAUAUGAUGCACCUACAAGCUAAAGAAUGCCAGUCAUUGCCAAAAACCAACCAGAAACCAAAAGAGAGGCAUGGAACACAUUCCUCCUCCCAGCUUCAGAAAGAACCAGUCCUCUGCUACCUCGACCUCAGACUUCUAGUCU